CGGGAACAAUUGUUUGUGAAGAAAGUUCUGAAAUACUCUUGGGGGGCAGCUAGUACAAAUGCUGCUCUCCCAUUUUCAGGAGUUUUGAAGUUGUAGGGAAGAUACUACGUUUUUGAUCAUCUGAAAUCUUUCUUCAUUACCUGUUUCUUUUCUUUUCUUUUUUUUUUUAUAGCGAUAUGAACUGUGUCCCCAUCAGGAUGGAGCCUAAAAAAGAACAGAUAAUGGGGUGGUUCUUCAGUCAGCGGCUUUGGGUCUUCUGUUCUGGAAAAUUUUCAGGGACAGGGUUCACCUGUGUUUCCCAGGCUGGUCUCAGACUUCCAGACUCAAGUGAACCUGAACCUCCCGCCUUGACCUCUCAAAUUGCUGAGAUUAUGCGUGUCAGUCACCACAUCCGGCCUAAAUUUCUUAUGUGCCAUGGUACUGCAAAACGUCAUACUUAGGGGCAGCUGGAUGGAAGGUGUAGGAGGCCACUGUAGUGCCUUUUCAAUAUUUCUGUAUCUCUAAAAUAAUUUCAACAGAAAACAUUUAUUUUAAAACAGGAAGGGGGUUAACUGUCUAUGAGUUGAAAAUACAAAGGCAGGCACAUGGUGUCAUCAGAAUUCAGAAAGCUGGUCACACAGCUGGGGGUGCUGGGAGGGGCUGGGCAUGGUUGGCUUUGUGAUCUGGGGGCUGGUGUUCCAUCUGUGAAGGUCUUUCGAGCUGCACACUUUCUUAAUCAAUUUUCAUAAGUUUAACAAAAAAUAAAGCGAAGAGGCAAAGCUUGCUUGGGUUGUUAAGCCUCGGGAAAUUAUCCAGCCAUGAGCCCUGGCCCAGAUGCUUCUAGAAGCCUGGAGGGAACUGAGAACUUUCAAAGUAGAGGUGGCACAGGCAA